rnacentral:rRNA from 1 species
GACUAACGCUGGCGGCGUGCCUAAUACAUGCAAGUAGAACGCUGAAGAGAGGAGCUUGCUCUUCUUGGAAGAGUUGCGAACGGGUGAGUAACGCGUAGGUAACCUGCCUUGUAGCGGGGGAUAACUAUUGGAAACGAUAGCUAAUACCGCAUAACAAUGGGUGACCCAUGUCAUUCAUUUGAAAGGGGCAACUGCUCCACUACAAGAUGGACCUGCGUUGUAUUAGCUAGUAGGUGAGGUAACGGCUCACCUAGGCGACGAUACAUAGCCGACCUGAGAGGGUGAUCGGCCACACUGGGACUGAGACACGGCCCAGACUCCUACGGGAGGCAGCAGUAGGGAAUCUUCGGCAAUGGGGGCAGCCCUGACCGAGCAACGCCGCGUGAGUGAAGAAGGUUUUCGGAUCGUAAAGCUCUGUUGUAAGUCAAGAACGAGUGUGAGAGUGGAAAGUUCACACUGUGACGGUAGCUUACCAGAAAGGGACGGCUAACUACGUGCCAGCAGCCGCGGUAAUACGUAGGUCCCGAGCGUUGUCCGGAUUUAUUGGGCGUAAAGCGAGCGCAGGCGGUUUGAUAAGUCUGAAGUUAAAGGCUGUGGCUCAACCAUAGUUCGCUUUGGAAACUGUCAAACUUGAGUGCAGAAGGGGAGAGUGGAAUUCCAUGUGUAGCGGUGAAAUGCGUAGAUAUAUGGAGGAACACCGGUGGCGAAAGCGGCUCUCUGGUCUGUAACUGACGCUGAGGCUCGAAAGCGUGGGGAGCGAACAGG